rnacentral:tRNA from 1 species
GAUGUAGUUCAGUGCUAAAGUGCUUACUUAGCAUGCAAAAGGUCCUGGGUUCAAUUCCUAGCACG